AAAUCCCGGGGCUCAACCCCGGAAGUGCUUUUGAAACUGCUUAUCUUGAGAGGGGCAGGGGCCGGCGGAAUUCCUGGUGUAGAGGUGAAAUUCGUAGAUAUCGGGAGGAACACCGGUGGCGAAGGCGGCUUCCUGGACCCAUUCUGACGCUGAGGCGCGAAAGCGUGGGGAGCAAACAGGAUUAGAUACCCUGGUAGUCCACGCCGUAAACGAUGAGCACUAGGUGUCGGGGGAAUUGACCCCUGCUGUGCCGCAGCUAACGCAUUAAGUGAUCCGCCUGGGGAGUACGGCCGCAAGACUAAAACUCAAAGGAAUU
rnacentral:rRNA from 1 species